UGCAGUCNNNNAACUCUGCUGAUGAUUGAAGCUUGCUUCAUGAAUCAGAUUUGAGUGAGUGGCGGACGGGUGAGUAACACGUGGGUAACCUGCCCAAAAGUGGGGGAUAACAUUUGGAAACAAGUGCUAAUACCGCAUAACAACUACUUUCACAUGAUCGUAGCUUGAAAGAUGGCUCUGCUAUCGCUUUUGGAUGGACCCGCGGCGUAUUAGCUAGUUGGUGAGGUAAUAGCUCACCAAGGCAAUGAUACGUAGCCGACCUGAGAGGGUAAUCGGCCACAUUGGGACUGAGACACGGCCCAAACUCCUACGGGAGGCAGCAGUAGGGAAUCUUCCACAAUGGGCGAAAGCCUGAUGGAGCAAUGCCGCGUGAGUGAAGAAGGUUUUCGGAUCGUAAAACUCUGUUGUUGAAGAAGAACAUGCGUGAGAGUAACUGUUCACGUACUGACGGUAUUCAACCAGAAAGCCACGGCUAACUACGUGCCAGCAGCCGCGGUAAUACGUAGGUGGCAAGCGUUGUCCGGAUUUAUUGGGCGUAAAGAGAAUGUAGGCGGUUUAUUAAGUUUGAAGUGAAAGCCCUCGGCUCAACCGAGGAAGUGCUUCGAAAACUGGUAAACUUGAGUGCAGAAGAGGAAAGUGGAACUCCAUGUGUAGCGGUGGAAUGCGUAGAUAUAUGGAAGAACACCAGUGGCGAAGGCGGCUUUCUGGUCUGUAACUGACGCUGAGAUUCGAAAGCAUGGGUAGCAAACA
rnacentral:rRNA from 2 species